GUAGGUGGCAAGCGUUGUCCGGAAUUAUUGGGCGUAAAGCGCGCGCAGGCGGUUCUUUAAGUCUGAUGUGAAAGCCCACGGCUCAACCGUGGAGGGUCAUUGGGAACUGGAGAACUUGAGUACGGAAGAGGAAAGCGGAAUUCCACGUGUAGCGGUGAAAUGCGUAGAGAUGUGGAGGAACACCAGUGGCGAAGGCGGCUUUCUGGUCUGUAACUGACGCUGAGGCGCGAAAGCGUGGGGAGCAAACAGGGAUUAGAUACCCUGGUAGUCCACGCCGUAAACGAUGAGGGCUAAGUGUUAGGGGUUUCCCGCCCCCUUAGUGCUGCAGCUAACGCAUUAAGCACUCCGCCUGGGGAGUACGGCCGCAAGGCUG
rnacentral:rRNA from 1 species